GAGAUUGAACCACCAGCAUGGCGAAUGGUUCCUGAACCACAGCAGGGUGUGAGAAAAAUUUGUGUGCCCCAGUCCCAUCUGUCCUUUCAAAGAUAACAUGUUGUUCCCCGCGAGGAAGAGACUGAGGAGCUCUUCACUGACAUAUACAGAGCUGAGAAGUAAAGAAAUGUGUUUGGUGCAAAGAUGACCUCGUCUGAGCUGACUACUCCUUACAUUACUGUACUGUAAGUGCUGGGUAUGCAUAGGACAGUUUGUCAUACUAUCACAGUGACUAACACAGUGAAACAGACUCACACACAUCCACACCUAGAACCAGAUUAGAAACACUAAUUUAUCUCACAUGUAUUUCUGGCAUAUCUUUGGACUGCCAGUUGAAAACUAAAAGUUCUACAAAUAAUUACAGUCACGCCUAAUGGUUAUGGGUAAUUUGGUGUUAUUAGAAGUUUUUGCUGA